AGAGUUUGAUCAUGGCUCAGGACGAACGCUGGCGGCGUGCCUAAUACAUGCAAGUCGAGCGAGCUUGCCUAGAUGAAUUUGGUGCUUGCACCAAAUGAAACUAGAUACAAGCGAGCGGCGGACGGGUGAGUAACACGUGGGUAACCUGCCCAAGAGACUGGGAUAACACCUGGAAACAGAUGCUAAUACCGGAUAACAACACUAGACGCAUGUCUAGAGUUUAAAAGAUGGUUCUGCUAUCACUCUUGGAUGGACCUGCGGUGCAUUAGCUAGUUGGUAAGGUAACGGCUUACCAAGGCAAUGAUGCAUAGCCGAGUUGAGAGACUGAUCGGCCACAUUGGGACUGAGACACGGCCCAAACUCCUACGGGAGGCAGCAGUAGGGAAUCUUCCACAAUGGACGCAAGUCUGAUGGAGCAACGCCGCGUGAGUGAAGAAGGGUUUCGGCUCGUAAAGCUCUGUUGGUAGUGAAGAAAGAUAGAGGUAGUAACUGGCCUUUAUUUGACGGUAAUUACUUAGAAAGUCACGGCUAACUACGUGCCAGCAGCCGCGGUAAUACGUAGGUGGCAAGCGUUGUCCGGAUUUAUUGGGCGUAAAGCGAGUGCAGGCGGUUCAAUAAGUCUGAUGUGAAAGCCUUUCGGCUCAACCGGAGGAAUUGCAUCAGGAAAACUGUUGAACUUGAGUGCAGAAGGAGGAGAGUGGAACUCCAUGUGUAGCGGUGGAAUGCGUAGAUAUAUGGAAGAACACCAGUGGCGAAGGCGGCUCUCUGGUCUGCAACUGACGCUGAGGCUCGAAAGCAUGGGUAGCGAACAGGAUUAGAUACCCUGGUAGUCCAUGCCGUAAACGAUGAGUGCUAAGUGUUGGGAGGUUUCCGCCUCUCAGUGCUGCAGCUAACGCAUUAAGCACUCCGCCUGGGGAGUACGACCGCAAGGUUGAAACUCAAAGGAAUUGACGGGGGCCCGCACAAG
rnacentral:rRNA from 1 species